CUUGGUCAUUUAGAGGAAGUAAAAGUCGUAACAAGGUUUCCGUAGGUGAACCUGCGGAAGGAUCAUUACCGAGUGAGGGCCCUCUGGGUCCAACCUCCCACCCGUGUUUAUUUUACCUUGUUGCUUCGGCGGGCCCGCCUUAACUGGCCGCCGGGGGGCUUACGCCCCCGGGCCCGCGCCCGCCGAAGACACCCUCGAACUCUGUCUGAAGAUUGUAGUCUGAGUGAAAAUAUAAAUUAUUUAAAACUUUCAACAACGGAUCUCUUGGUUCCGGCAUCGAUGAAGAACGCAGCGAAAUGCGAUACGUAAUGUGAAUUGCAAAUUCAGUGAAUCAUCGAGUCUUUGAACGCACAUUGCGCCCCCUGGUAUUCCGGGGGGCAUGCCUGUCCGAGCGUCAUUGCUGCCCUCAAGCACGGCUUGUGUGUUGGGCCCCGUCCUCCGAUCCCGGGGGACGGGCCCGAAAGGCAGCGGCGGCACCGCGUCCGGUCCUCGAGCGUAUGGGGCUUUGUCACCCGCUCUGUAGGCCCGGCCGGCGCUUGCCGAUCAACCCAAAUUUUUAUCCAGGUUGACCUCGGAUCAGGUAGGGAUACCCGCUGAACUUAAGCAUAUCAAUAAGCGGAGGA
rnacentral:rRNA from 1 species